UGUAGGCUGCAACUCGCCUACAUGAAGUCGGAAUUGCUAGUAAUCGCGGAUCAGCAUGCCGCGGUGAAUACGUUCCCGGGCCUUGUACACACCGCCCGUCACACCAUGGGAGUCGGUAACACCCGAAGCCGAUAGUCUAACGAAAGAGGACGUCGUCGAAGGUGGGAUUGAUGACUGGGGGUGAAGUCGUAACAAGGUAUC
rnacentral:rRNA from 1 species